GACGAACGCUGGCGGCGUGCCUAAUACAUGCAAGUCGAACGCUUCUUUUCUCCCGAGUGCUUGCACUCAAUUGGAAAGCGGAGUGGCGGACGGGUGAGUAACACGUGGGUAACCUACCCAUCAGAGGGGGAUGACACUUGGAAACAGGUGCUAAUACCGCAUAACAGUUUAUGCCGCAUGGCAUAAGAGUGAAAGGCGCUUUCGGGUGUCGCUGAUGGAUGGACCCGCGGUGCAUUAGCUAGUUGGUGAGGUAACGGCUCACCAAGGCCACGAUGCAUAGCCGACCUGAGAGGGUGAUCGGCCACACUGGGACUGAGACACGGCCCAGACUCCUACGGGAGGCAGCAGUAGGGAAUCUUCGGCAAUGGACGAAAGUCUGACCGAGCAACGCCGCGUGAGUGAAGAAGGUUUUCGGAUCGUAAAACUCUGUUGUUAGAGAAGAACAAGGACGUUAGUAACUGAACGUCCCCUGACGGUAUCUAACCAGAAAGCCACGGCUAACUACGUG
rnacentral:rRNA from 1 species